rnacentral:snRNA from 1 species
AUCCUGGUGCACGGGUUUUACACGUGUCAGUGAGGAGACAUCCGAGACCGUGUUUUUGCUAGUUGAAAACUACCUAGUUUGACCGCUCUCCUUGGUCUUCGGAUCGGGGAGGAAUUUUUGAAAAAAAGAUGCCAUGUCUCCAACUUGUUGGAGGCGCUUU